GGGGAGCAUGGAUUUUGUUUGUUUUUUGUUUUGUUGCUUUUUUAAAAACGUUAAGUAAUGUGCCUUAGGAAGUAUCUGAAACUGAGCAUUUGAGGAUUUUUAUUUGAGCAUUUGAUUUCUCAAAAAGCUUUACAGCAUACCACUACUCUAUUCCUAGCAAACACUGUGCAACUGUUGCUAUCAGUAAACUAUCAAGUUAUUUAAGUAACCUUUUUAAUCCAGUCAUUAGCUUUGAUGAACUCGCAUCUUUCUUCAUACAGAAAGUCUGUAAAGGAAGGAGACAAAAUUAUACUUGUCUGUUGAAGUCUGUCUUUGAAUGCUCUUUGCAUAGAUACCAUCCAAGUGCUUCUGUUUGUGUAGUUACUUAGAUUACAGUUCUAUCUUUAUGUUCCUUAAAAUUGAAGGCGAUGAAUACAGGAGGGAAUGAAGAGAGAGGACAUUACAGCUCCUGUUUCUGUUAUUUAUUUUAUUUUUUUUUCAGCUUUUGAAGGAUUACAGAAGCAGUAAAUAUUUCAUUUUGAAAUGUUUUCUCUCUUCUAGCUCUGGGGAAGACUUCCUCAGAUAGCUUUUACUUUCUUUCCAGUCCAUGGGAUCUAAGACUUCUGUGAUGAUCAGGCUAUACAAACAGAACCUUUGGACUGGCAAAUUGCACCCAUCAUUGUUGGGGUGCAUCUGGAGACUGAAGCAGAAACAGGCAAGAACACUGAGUGAAAAUAAGCACUCCAGAAAAGAUAAUGGGAACUUGAACUGUAUUUUGAGAGCUGUUCACAGUGCAAAAUCAGAAAUAAGAAUGUUAUUUCUUUUUGCCUUUCAGGAUCCUGGAUCUGGAGGUGGGGCAAUGAAAUGUGGAAAACAACUCAGAACGUUGACUUUGAACUCAAGAACUGCUGCUUGAUGGAGAAGGUCAACUUAGAGCAGCAGCAUUCAACCUUCUUCAGUUUAAAGACAGGUAAGAGCCUCUGACUCCUCUUCUGCGAGAACAUGUGCUCCUGUGCCUCUCAGCAGCUCCAGCAAUCAAAGUGCUUUGGUAGUUGCCAAUAUAUAUGUAAUUGAAGAGGCAGCUAGUAGGUCAUCCCAGCACCUUCAGACCUCCGAAAAUACCUAAGUAGGUGGGGAUCUCUCUUAUUUAUAAUAACUAUUUCAAUUCAGUUUUAGCUGCCUUUGUUCCUUGUUAAGUUAAUCCUGAGCUUUACUAUUGUUAUUUUUAUUUUAUUGUCUUUUCUAUUAUUAUUAUUUUCUGGACAAGAUAGUUUUC
rnacentral:lncRNA from 1 species